rnacentral:lncRNA from 1 species
CUAUAAAGAAAACAUUUAUAAAUUAAUAAUUAUAAAUUAGUCAAACAUCGUAGUUUUAAUAUUAUUAAUGUAUAGAAUUUUUUGAAUAUGAGGUAUACUAAUGACUGAGAUGUUGAAUGUUUGUAUGGAAUCUAAAAUAAUUGUCGCAGGAUAUAAAAAUCAUUUUAUUUUCAAAUAUCCAUAGCCAAACGAAAUCAUGUCGUAGAGAGAAAUUACAUCUAGAUAAAAUGAUUUGACGUCAAAUAUUAAAAUACUUGUAUAUGGAUAAAACGCUUUUCAACUCAUUUUA